UCAUCGAUGUCCUAACUCACAGCUUCAUGCUGCACCAAGGGCUUGGCCUGUGGGGACUUUGCCAGCUUCUUUUCGGUCAAAGGCUGUGUGAUGAUGGUCAUCUUGUGGCUUUUGGUGACGUUCUGUCAACAAGAGCUCGUUUUCCUGGGAAAGACAGUGCUGUUCCGAAAGCUCCCGAGAAGUAGACGUAUACAAAUCAGGUGCGAGAGCAGCUUAGCUUACUCACUCGAAGCGAUCAAUUUAUUUGUAUACAGUGCUGCUCCGCGGCUGCGACGGCUGAUGCGAUCAUACUGCCGCCUAGACUUCGGCCCAAAGAAAAAAAUAAAGUCUACAACAUUACGGGUAUACAAAGCAGCAUGCGGUGAUUUAUAUCCCGCAAAAAGAAGUGAAAAAGUUAAGGUUUCAUUUGCACGUUGCGCAGUCUUCACCGGUAGGAGCGCUGUCAAUCAAACACGCACGAUGUAGCGUGCGAAAUGGUGGCAAUUUUGUUUGCGCCCUGUUUCAGCUGUGUUCCCGACGCUGAGCGCGUCAAAAAGACAAGCCAGUUGGCACCCGACACUUCCCAUGUAUGCAACCACUUCGGGAGAAAGAAAAACCUGCGAUUUGUGAGGAGACAACAGCGACAAGCUUUUUGUGAAGCCAGCAAAGGACAAGUCGGACAAUUCUUUAAGAAUUUGGUGGGUGCCGCAGGAAGAGUCAUCCGACGUGAUAUUGGUUUCGUCUCAUCACAGAGAUCACAAUAAACUGUACAGUGCACGCUUGGUUUGCAUAGCUGAGGACGUAAACCAGUUUGCAAAUAAAUAAGGAUUGUGUGCAUGA